CCUACGGGAGGCAGCAGUGGGGAAUAUUGCACAAUGGGGGAAACCCUGAUGCAGCGACGCCGCGUGAGCGAUGAAGUAUUUCGGUAUGUAAAGCUCUAUCAGCAGGGAAGAAAAUGACGGUACCUGACUAAGAAGCCCCGGCUAACUACGUGCCAGCAGCCGCGGUAAUACGUAGGGGGCAAGCGUUAUCCGGAUUUACUGGGUGUAAAGGGAGCGUAGACGGCGGUGCAAGCCAGAGGUGAAAGCCGGGGGCUCAACCCCCGGACUGCAUUUGAAACUGUGCUGCUAGAGUGCCGGAGAGGCAAGCGGAAUUCCUAGUGUAGCGGUGAAAUGCGUAGAUAUUAGGAGGAACACCAGUGGCGAAGGCGGCCUGCUGGACGGUGACUGACGUUGAGGCUCGAAAGCGUGGGGAGCAAACAGGAUUAGAUACCCUUGUAGUC
rnacentral:rRNA from 1 species